rnacentral:tRNA from 2 species
CGGGGUGUAGCGCAGCCCGGUAGCGCACCUGAAUGGGGUUCAGGUGGUCGGCGGUUCAAAUCCGCCCACCCCGACCA